GUGCUCACUUGGGCAGCACAUAUACUAAAAUUGGAAGAUACAGAGAAGAUUAGCAUUGUCCUGCGCAAGGAUAACAUGCAAAUUCGUGAAAGGUUCCAUAUGUAC